GUGCUCACUUUGCAGCACAUAUACUAAAAUUAAAGCAAGACAGAGAAGAUUAGCAUGGUCCCUGCUCAAGGAUGACACAUAAAUUCAUGAAGCAUUCCAUAUUUUU